rnacentral:rRNA from 1 species
GCCAGACUCCUACGGGAGGCAGCAGUGGGGAAUAUUGCACAAUGGGGGAAACCCUGAUGCAGCGACGCCGCGUGAGCGAUGAAGUAUUUCGGUAUGUAAAGCUCUAUCAGCAGGGAAGAAAAUGACGGUACCUGACUAAGAAGCCCCGGCUAACUACGUGCCAGCAGCCGCGGUAAUACGUAGGGGGCAAGCGUUAUCCGGAUUUACUGGGUGUAAAGGGGGCGCAGACGGCAGCGCAAGCCAGGAGUGAAAGCCCGGGGCCCAACCCCGGGACUGCUCUUGGAACUGCGCGGCUGGAGUGCAGGAGGGGCGGGCGGAAUUCCUGGUGUAGCGGUGAAAUGCGUAGAUAUCAGGAGGAACACCGGUGGCGAAGGCGGCCUGCUGGACUGCGACUGACGUUGAGGCCCGAAAGCGUGGGGAGCAAACAGGAUUAGAUACCCUGGUAAG